GUUGUAUGCGUAGCGAGGGAAACGAGGUGUGACGCGUGCAGGUUCCCUAUGCCACCUGUGUGUUAUGCCACCUGUGUGUGCCAAGUGUAGCUUCGUGAUUGGAGGAAACACUUGUAUUUAAACACGUAGCCUAUAGCAAUUAACGCCAUUUGCCUCACUUACUCCUGGGGUCUGCGUGAGCAUCUGGCCCCGACCUGGUAAAGGGUCGGUUUUGCCCAGCAGUAAGCCCUACACGUGGACAGAGGACGAACACCGGACGAGCGAACGGAGACCACAUGCAACAAGUGGUGACCCCGACGUGAUCUGUCUGCUGAGGGUGGCUGCCCGGCGUGCCCGUGACGCGGAGAAGAGCCUGUGAGGUGGCGGCAGGUCGCGCACGGAAGACGUACUGCGGUUAAGAGCCUGCGAGGUGGCGGCAGGUCGCAUGCGUAACAAUGGACCAAGUCAUUAAGGUACUUGUGCAGUUUUGUAAGGACUACUGUGGAAAAUCUACUCCUUCCCGGAAGGAGAUCGCGACAGUUUUGUCGCUAUUAAAUGAGCUGGGGGAGCUGGACUCUCCCUGCCACAUUUUGGAUUCGAGUAGGUGGGACUUGCUCACCUCGGCGCUAUGCCAGCGCGCCAUGGCCAGUCAGAAGGCUACGGAACUUAAAACGUGGGGACUGAUGUUAGGAGCCCUUAAGGCGGCCAGGGAAGAGGACAAACUUGGCGCGGUCAUGAGCGGGGAGGGAGCUUCGGGGAGCGGGUCUUUGGAGUUUUGCAGGUCCGGCGCUCAGACCACAGCGAAAAAAAACGGCGACGGAGAGAGAGGAAGAUUGCGAGAAGGACAAAGAAGAGUCGCAGAGGCUCGGGGGGGGUGCAACGACGCCGACGGCCCCUCCUAAUUCUAUUGCGCUGUCGCCGCCCCCGCCCUACCCUAAGCAGCCGUUAUAUCCUUCCUUGGCAACGACAUCGGAGCAGGGGGCGGGACCAUCCCCAAAAGGAAAGGAGGAGGGGAGACUUAAGCUUACUGAUUGGGGGCAGAUCAAAGAGGAAGUGGCACAGAAAGGCCUGGCGGCAACUUAUACACUCCCAGUUGUUGUCUCAGAGGAGGGAGGCCCAGUCUGGGUCCCGUUGGACCCAAAGGGGGUAGCAAGGAUGAUUGAGGCAGUAGAAAAGAAAGGGCUGAAAUCGCCAUUGACGAUGAAUGCCCUUGAGGCCCUCACAGCAUCGGGCCCAAUGCUGCCUUAUGAUAUUGAAAAUUUAAUGCGCAUGGUGUUGAAACCAGUGCAGUAUACGCUCUGGAGAGAGGAGUGGCAUACCAAAUUAAAACAAAUGCUGAUUACGGCGCAGGGUGAUCAAAGAAACCCCAUAUAUGGGUCCGAUAUACAGAGAUUAACGGGCAAUGCACCAGGUCUGCUGACCCCUCAAGCACAAGUUUGUCAACUUAGACCAGGAUAGUUGAUAGCGACUACGGACGCUGCAAUAGACGCGUUCCGAAAGCUUGCAAGGAGUGCUGAGCCCACUACUCCGUGGACAGAGAUCGCGCAAGGCCCCACAGAGCCGUUUCAGGAGUUUGCAGACAGACUAAUUAAGGCAGUGGAAGGCUCGGAUCUGCCCAGAGCAGUUCACGGUCCCGUCAUCCUGGAUUGCUUGUAUCAGAAGUCCAGUGAAGGGGUGCAGGGGAUUUUGCGAGUGGCGCCGGGGAGGCUCCAAACCCCUGGUGAGGCCAUCAAGUAGGUCCUAGAUAAGCAAAAGGCCUGUCCGUCUGUGGCAGGGGAGGUAGCUGCGGCGGUAGCAGGAGUGAUGAUGGCCUGUAGGGAGGCGGACCAUCAUAGUGCGGACCGACAGUUAGGACCUUGCUUUAAAUGUGGUCAGGCGGGCCACAUUAGGGCCCAGUGCAGAAUGGGUGCGGGUGGAAGCGUAACAUGUCAGCAGUGCGGGCGGAGGGGUCAUACAGCACCACAAUGCAGGGCCCGUAGGCCUCCACGCCAGGGAAAUAACAACGGGAGACAGUCCGAGCACGGUGACUUCAUUUUUCGACCUAUGCAGGCCCCUGACCUAAGUUUACCCAUGGCGGCGCUGUCUCUAAGUACCCAUGAGCGCCCUCUGGUGAAAGCCACUAUUUCUUGCACCAACCUCCCGCUGGAUUUUCAAGGCCCUCGAUCUAUCUUUGUCACUGCCCUCAUAGAUUCCGGCGCCGACGUUACUGUGGUCGCGGAAACAGAAUGGCCAUCCUCGUGGCCCGCGGAGGCCUCGCAGUCUAUUUUGGGGGUUGGAGGGGCGACCCCCUCACGCCGGUCUACCAAUGAGGUACAAGCGGUUGUGAUUAACAGGGAUGGCUCCUUAGAGAAACCGGCGUUGCUUACACCAUUGGUGGCGCGUGUCCCCGGAACUCUUCUGGGGCGGGAUUUCUUGCAACAGAUAGGCAUUCCACAGUAUCCUCUGAACACCUUCAAGGGAUACGUCACUAAUGUUACUGCUUGCGAUAACGACGCCGAUUUAGCCAGCCAAACAGCAUGCUUGAUACAGGCUCUAAAUACAACCCUCCCUUGGGACCCCCAAGAAUUGGAUAUUUUAGGGUCCCAGAUGAUCAAGAACGGAACAACACGUACGUGUGUUACCUUUGGUUCGGUGUGCUAUAAAGAGAACAAUCGCAGUAGAGUCUGUCACAAUUUUGAUGGGAAUUUUAAUGGGACUGGUGGGGCAGAAGCAGAAUUGCGUGACUUCAUAGCAAAAUGGAAAAGUGAUGACCUUCUUAUAAGACCCUAUGUCAACCAAUCAUGGACGAUGGGACACAGGUGUCAAGACGUGGAAGGGAUGUGUUGCUUCAAUCUCAGCGAUCACAGUGAGUCCAUUCACAAGGCGCUCCAAGCCAUGAAGGAACAUACAGAGAAGAUACGGGUGGAAGAUGAUCCCAUAAGGGACUGGUUUACGCGCACGUUUGGUGAUCUAGGAAGGUGGCUCGCGAAAGGUGUUAAGACGCUACUGUUUGCCUUGCUUGUCAUAGCCUGUCUAUUAGCUAUCAUUCCAUGUAUAAUCAAGUGCUUUCAGGAUUGUCUAUCGAGAACAAUGAAUCAGUUUAUGGAUGAACACAUAAAAUAUCAUAGAAUUAGGGAGCAGUUGUAGGUUCCGAACGCGAUGUGACGGGAGCUAUCGGCAUAGGGAGGGGGAGAUGUUGUAUGCGUAGCGAGGGAAACGAGGUGUGACGUGUGCAGGUUCCCUAUGCCACCUGUGUGUUAUGCCACCUGUGUGUGCCAAGUGUAGCUUCGUGAUUGGAGGAAACACUUGUAUUUAAACACGUAGCCUAUAGCAAUUAACGCCAUUUGCCUCACUUACUCCUGGGGUCUGCGUGAGCAUCUGGCCCCGACCUGGUAAAGGGUCGGUUUUGCCCAGCAGUAAGCCCUACAUGUGGACAGAGGACGAACACCGGAUGAGCGAACGGAGACCACAUGCAACAGUCUCAAAGGGAAUUCCUAAAGGUUUCUUCAUCUUUAAUGAGAAAAAUGGCCAUGCAGUGCUCUUGAACCAACUUACUUCCAUACCUAGUCAGGUCAAAGCAAAGUUCUGUCUGCACUGUCUUACCUGGAGCCUACUGGAAGACCUUCUUGCUACAGCUACAAGAAGCACUGUGUCCACAGGCUUUCAUUUUGAUGGAGGAAUUCAAACUCCUGGAGUGCAUUCGGAGAAGUUUCCUGGCCUAGCUAUCAGACAAACCAACCAGAGGAGAAGCAUUACCUGACCAGACACUCACCAUACAAAGGAGAUCAUUAAAUAUAUUAAGAGGUACUGUGAGCUGUAGUGAUAGUGCUCUGAUUAUGUUUGUGAUCUCAAGGAAUAUGGGCAUGGCAAAGAACAGAGACAGGACUCCGCACUUCAGAAGAGUGAUAUUCCAGCUGUUUAAGGAAUUACUGGAUGAGAUCCCCUGGGAAGCUGUCCUCGGAGACAGUGGAGCAGAGCAGAGCUGGCAGCUCUAUAAGGACACCUUUCUGACAACAUAAGAGCUCUCUGUCCCUCAGCAUAAGAAAUCAAGAAGAGGAGGGAGGAAACCAGCAAGAUUGAGUGAGGACCUGCUGGUCAAAAUGAGAAAUAAGAAGGAAAUUCACAGUUAAUGGAAUCAGGAAUGAGUGGCCUGGAAAGAAUACAGGAUUCCAUCUAGACAUGAAGAGAUGGGAUCAGGAAAGAUAAGGCACAGAUGGAACUGCAUUUGGUGAGGGAUGGGAAAAAUAAGAUGGUGGAAUAGAACCUCCUGGAAGCUAUCUUAAGACACAUGUGAGGCAAGGUGAUCUGUGACAAAGAACAUGGUCUUGUCAUGGGCAGAUCACACCUGACCGAUCUGGUGGCCCUCUACGAUGGAGUGUUGGCAUCAGUAGAAGAAAGAGGAGAAACUGGUAUCAUCUAACUGGAAUUCAGCAAAGUAUUUGAUACGAUCCCACACACCAUCCUUAUCCCUAAAUUGGGGAGAUAUGGACUUGAAGGCUGGACUAUUCAGUGGAUAAGGAAUUGGUUGUACAGCGUCAGCCAGAGGGUUGGGGUCAAUGGCUUCAGGUGAUGAGUGGUGUCCCCCAGGGGUCUGUCCUGGGACCGGUGCUUUUCAACAUCUUUAUCAACAACCUAGACAGUAGGAUUAAGAACACUCUCAGCAAGUUUGCUAAGCUGAGUGGUGCAGUUCAUAGAACAGAAAUAAGGGUUGCCAUCCAGAGGGACCUGGGCAAGUUUGAAAAAUUUUGAGAAACUCCUUGUAGGAAGUUUAUGCAUGAUAAAUGAUUAUGAUAUCUGAGUUCCAAUUGGGGAACACUGCUGUAUUUGUGAUGACUUGCUAGGAGUGUGUCAUUUUAGAUCUUGGAGACCUGUCUUUUGUAAUGGGAGCCUGCAAAUGCCCCCAACAAAUUCUUGUCACUGGAGCUGAACAGAUCAUCUGCAUAGUGAACUGUUAGUGCAUAAACUGAUGUUUCCAGAUACCUGCGGUAGAUAUCAAUUAAACCACAGAAAUCUAAUUGUACUUUACAAGAGCUGUAGCACUGUACUGACAAUUAAUUUCAAAUACAUUAAUGGACUUAGAGAUAGGUGCCUGUACGACCACGUGGAAAUCCAAGAGCAGUACUACCUUGAAUUCUUUCUCAAAAAUGAGAGUUAUUGUGGCCACGUUGUUCCUUGGGCUGUGACCCUUACAGUGAUCUUACAUUGGUUGAUGGUUGUCUUUCUGAUCUGAGAAAAGAUAAACUAGAUAAAAUUCCUAAACAAAUAAGAGUAGCUUACUUUUGUGUUGGAUUUUACAUGAUACAGAUGUCCUUCUUACAUUCCCUACUUCCUUUUGCUUGUUCCUAACAUGUGCAUAACAAUAUGACAGCCAUAAAUUGUCAUGACACUUAAACAUAAAGCACCAUUUAAGUCCUUUAUCUUAUCUGCUACUUGGUUCAGGUAAAUAAGAAUAAUUAAUGGCAGCUACACUACCUAUAAUCGUUGUUAUGGCUCUGAAUUAGCUGAUUUUCUGUUCCAGAACCCCAGGGUGAGAGGCAGAAUGCUGGGGAGCAUGAGGGAGAACUUACCGAGUGUCAGCUGAGAUUCUGUGUAUGGAAAUGGAUGUUAGUGAAGGUUAGGACCUAGGACUAGGACAAGGACUGCUAUCGCUACUGCUUUAUUUCUUGUAGUCUGCAGUGCAGAAACAGUGAGCAAUCUGAAAGACUGACUGGCAGUGAGAAUCAUAGGGAAGAGGAAAAAAAGGGACAAGGAACAUAUAAUGCUCCAACCCUCCUCCCCACCUCCAAGUUAAUUCAGUGUGGGCUUUUCUUGAUCAAAGUUCCUACCCCACAAUAUAUUGUAAUUUAUGUGUGUCUGAGGCGUACAGUAAUGCUGAGCUAAUGUGGUUUUGUACUUAAGUAAACAUGUUUUCAGAGUUGCUAAUGCAUGACAGAAAGUGCUGGAUCGAAGUCUUUCCUGAAUUAGAAGAAAGAAAAACAGCUAUUAUAAAAGGAGAAGUGUGCCUGACUGAGUAAUGCUGUAUCAGAAAGUCUGCAAACAAGUAUCUUAGUCUUUGAUAAGGAUCUAUUUUUAUUAAUUCCUGGGCUGAAAACCAAAUAUCCCUUUUUAACCUGGGAUGUUCUGUAGAGCACACAGCUAGUGCUUUUCAAAUUUUUAUCCUGUUUCGUAAGGGUGGUAAAAGACAAUCCAUUUCAGGCUUUAGGAAUGUAAGACACAAACAUCCCAAAUAGGUUUUUAAUUAAACAUAUAUUACCUUAGUUCAUGAUAAAAGAGUAAACAGUGAUAUGUACUGUUAUGGGUAGGAUAUAAAUCAAAUACAACUACUAUAUUUCCAUAUCUAGUGGAGUCUCAGCAUUUUUUUAAUCUGUUUAUCAUGCAACUGAUUAAUAUAUCAUUAAACAAAAAAGGCAUGUUAUUUCUCAUUGUGAAAGGUCCUUUCAUAAUGUUCUUCUGGAAAUCUACUUGGGUAGAGGAGUAUAUCUGCAUACGUGACAGCACAGACAUGAGGUCUAAGUCCUACCAUUAGUGGCAUUUUCCUGCCAUUCUCUUAAAAUGAGAUAGUGAAAUAAAAUACUGACUUUGUUUGAUGUAUUUUUUAUGUAUGUUCUAAAGCACUUCAUCUGAUAAACUAUCAUGAGAAAUGGACCUUCCAUAGCAUUUCCUAAUACAGCACAUGGUUUGGAUCUAUAAAGUAAACCACAAUAAGAAAACCACGUGUUAACAGUGUGGGAACACCAAGAAGAGAAACCUUUCUUGCUGUGUUUUCAAUAUGAGAUUUCUAGAUAGACUAGCACCACUGAUGUCUCUUUCAUCAGUGAGAUAGAUCCCCAUGCUUGGUCAGAGUAACAAAGACAGCUUGAACCAGAAAAGUUAGAAAAUGGAGUGAAGUAUGGGGAAGGAAGCUUUGAUGUAAGCUGAUGAGCUCAGUGGGUAUUUCAUGGGUUCAUGUGUAUAGUAUCCUCAUACUAUAAUGAUGGAGAAGUUUGAAACUGAAAAACAAACAUAUCCAACAAAUCUCAGAGUAAAAACCCAAGUGGCAGAAUCCCUACUUUCCCAGAGUUAUGAGAAACACCGAGUUACACGCUGAGGAUCCAGACAUCAAGCCUCAGACAGCAUUAGACGAUUUCAAAUAAAAGCUAUCCAGUGCAAAAAUAACAGUGAUGGCUUAAGAAGUCCUUCAACCUUCAAAUCACUAGGGAAAAGAGGAGAUUAUUUUGGAGAUGUAAUACUGUGCGCUCAAUCUGAUUUUUCCAUUCUUCUCUGGACAGCCACUGCUAAAGGCAAGAUAAAUUUACCUGAAAGACCUUCUAAGUUACCUUGUUGGCUUGUUUUUAUCUUCUUUUUUCCUAAAUGUAAGUGUGAAAACAAGUAACACCUCACAAUUUGCAGACAGGGAAGAAAUGAGUGUAAAGAAAAUGCAGCAGAUGUGAGCCAAGACAGCGUCAGCUAGAGCUUCCUCCUUGAGUGUAGACCUGAUGCCAGCAGACGGGUAGUAAUUUUGUGACAGUAUAAAAACUCAUAGUCACUGAGAGGGUACAAGCACUUCCUAAAUACACACACACAAAACACAAUCAAAUCAUGAGAGUGGCUGGACCACAAGAUUAUCCACUGCUUGAAGCGAAUGAAGUCAAUGUGAGAGAUAAGAGUAUUCCGACUUAAGCACAUGCUUAAAUUUAUUAAGGCACUUAAAGUUAGGUGCGUGCUCAAGUGCUGUUACUUGAAUGACAAGUGGGUUUAAAGCAUUUUCCCAAGUUGGGACUUUGCAACAUUGAUAGUCAGCUAUGCAACUGGUGAAACUUAAAAUAGAUGCAUGCACACACAAAAAUGCAAAAAAGAGAGUUUCUUUUUAUGUCUGUCUGCUAUGCUUAGUGGGCUUUCUUGGCUAAGUCUGAGCUAAAUAUUACUGAAAAUAGCAUAGUACUGUAGUUAUUUCAAAGCACUGUCUGUAUUUGUUCUGUGCACUGGGUGGGCAGGAAGCUUCAUUUCAUAAAUCACUUUCAACGAGACAGUAGACUAUAAAAAGGGAGCGUUUUUUUCCCUUCAGUGUUUUUCAUUCUCAAGGUUCUGAUCUGGUACAGCCUACAUACUGGGAAAAGUUCAAAAAAUGUUUCCCACUGCUCUGCAGACCUUCCCUUGCACACAAGGGAUCUAGGGAACCACCAGCAGGCACCCCGUGCUAGUGAGUCCCCCAGGUCACGGUGCUUAACUUGCUAUGAGGCAUUUGUCAGCAAAACUGCCGAAGCAUCGUCCCAUUCCCAGCUCCAUGGAAAGGCCUCCACAAGAAGUUUCACAGCGCACUGUCUACACAGGGAACCUGUCUGGUCAAACCAUUGUCCAGCAAAAGAAAACAGGUUGGUUUUCAUGGGAGACGUGCAGAGAUGUGCAGGAAGGAGCAGUAGGGGAAAAGGGGUGAGGAAGAGGGGGGGAGAAAAGCUCGAAUGAUCCAUCAUUUCUCCUUAUAAAUUAUUUGUUAAAACUUUGUUAGAUUGAGCUUUACACUCAAAAAGGAGCCAAAUGCUCCUUGUGGUACUUACUGGGAACCAAAGGGUAAGAGAGACAGAUAUAGUCAUUCACCUGCAGCAAGGGAAAAGUUGCUGCCUGAUUCAACCCACUGAGUCACAACUUUUCCAUUUAAUAUUAAUAAAAAUGGGGUUCCGCACACCAGUACCUAAAAUGCGCCCCUCAGUUUUGGCACUAUCUGUACAUGGGUUUCUAAAGUACUACAGAGAAAUAGUAUCACUGAGUGAGUGGGCUCUACUUAGGUUGGUUGUUUCUCCCCAGCCAGCCGAACUUCUACAGAACAGGGUUUAGGAAGCUCAGGAAAUUCACACCUGCUACAUGUCACACCAAACAUAAUACAGGAACAGCCAUACCGAGUCAGGGCCUCAAAUCAUCCUUUUAAGUCUCUGUUUGUGACUGUCCCCAGAGCUGAAGGCCUCAAUAAAGCACAACCAGCAAUUUUAGCAGAAGCCUUUCCCUGGGCUGCCCUCCCAUCUAUUGGCACUCCACAGCUCACCAGUCUCCUGACCUAAAAGUUGCAAACAAGCUGCUUGCUGUUUCCCACCCAGAAAGCUUCACACUGUUUUGGAACAGCACAUGUCUUCCAUGUUUGCAGUAAGUCCCCAUGCCAGGUCCAAAGCAGGACUCACUGUGGACUCGCUCUGCAUUUGGUGUCAGUGGGUUUAGAAACACAUUCCUCAAGUGCAGCACACUACUAGGGUUCUUGCAGUUCAGGGAUUAAAACAGCUGCAAAGGCUCACUCUGAUCAGAGUGAAUCUAUUUUAUGUAUUCUCCAAGAAGUUUAAUCUUCUAUUUUUUUAAAGAACAGAUUGCUCUCAUUUUGGCAGAAAAACUUGUGUAAGGAGCUCUGGGACAAACAAUAGCAAACUUGGAAUGCUUAAUUUUGAAGCAGGAUUUACUAUUCUUUUUACCCUACAAACUCAGUCUAUGAAGGGGUAAAACAUGGUUGCUUAAAAUAAUUGUAAUUACUCCUCCAGUUGAAUCCAAUCAGGUGGAAUGGAUACUUAAGCAGAGUGUUAAUUAUGAUACCACCGAUGCUAGAGAAAGAAACCUAACUAAAAUCUAAGGCUACGUUCAGUUUACUGCAUGGAUUACACACAGGAUUACACUUUAAAACCACUGCAAGGUUGAAUGAUUUGUUUCAAUCCAAAUACCAUUUUUUUGCACAGUAUUAAGGGAAAUUUUGGAACUGGUAAGCAAGGUAGUCCACAGGAUUGUCCGCAGAGUACUUUGAAUUUGCAAGUAACCAUUUGUAAAUACCAUUUUGUAGACACCAAAACAGAAGCAGCAGCUGGACAUUGAACCUAAAUUAUUUUCAGUUAGGCUGAUGCAAGCAUGCAUACUGCUUUCGUUAGCUGAGACUACUCCAGCAUGUAAGACAACUUGAAGAGAGUUCAUGGCAGAUUACCACCCUUGAAGUUUAGAUUAAUGCUCCAUAUUUAGAACAAAGAUGCACUGGAGGAAUAAUUUUUAAAAAAUUAUUCCAACUCCAGCUUUCUAUGAUUCUAACUACUAGCAACCAUUAGCAACUUGCAAGGCUUGCAGGAAUUCUCAGUCUGAAUGCAACACAACUCCAAAGCUUUUCCUUCUGCAUGGCAGUAGUACUCACUGACCUCAGCCAGAAUUUCUGAGGUUCUCUACUGUUGUUGAGAUCUCUCUUUGUUGCAUUAACUGAUUCUGCCUCAAAAGGGAAAGUGCCCUUUAUAGGCAGAUUAAAACUUUCAAUUCUCUGUGGUAAUUAUUAAAUGAAUCAUGAAACUAAGGCUGCCAGCUGUGCCACGUUAAAUUGCACUCUCCCACGUUCAACAUUCUCUUGCUGAGCUUAGCUCAGAAAGUUUGUCAUUGGAUUUCCAUGAAUUUUCCAAGUAUUGAAGUUUGCUUUUAAAUUCUCUUGCAAUCAUGCAAUCCACACAAUAAGACUAAGCACUGUAAUUUGAUUAACAGAAAAUGAAAAUGAGCUAUCUAGAAAACAGUUUUAGUGGUGAUAUAUUGGCUAACUUCUGUGUGGCUCAUUUUGCAUCACUGUGCUCAGAAAUAAAAUGAAGUCUUUGAAAAUUAAAGCCAGAAAAAUCUCGCCCCAAACCAAGACUCUGAAAUGUAAAAUUAUUAGUUCAAGCUGAGUGAUAAAUGGCAGAAGUUUUCUGUUUUCCACAAUGGUGUAAACAGCUAGUUCAGCAGUGUUGUUGCUAUUGUUACGUAUUUAAAGUUGAAACCUGCUAUUAUAUAUCACAUUACAAAAAAGAGCUCUAGGUUAGACAACAUUUCAGCUUUUCUGUUCCUUAGACUUGGAUCUCAGGCCUAAAGGGAAUAUAUGUAAGACUGUAGGUUAUCACAUUUUACAUAAUAAUUUUGUCCCGUAUAUCUUGAUGGGUGGGGUGUAAAGCUAUUUUUCCCUACUCUCCUGAACAUGCUAGAAUAGUGGAUUUACAUCUUGAUUUUCCGUGCAUCUGUAGAAACAUUCAUUGUACCACACAUCACGUUUCGAGAUCUGGAUAUGCUACAUCGUAUUCUGUCUGAACUCAGGUUGUCCAUUAUCAUAGAAUCACAGCAUCACCAAGGUUGGAAAAGACCUCUAAGAUCAUCCAGUCCAACCAUCCACGUAUCACCAGUAUUUUCCACUAAACCAUGUACCCUGAUACAGCACCUAAACAUUUCUUGAACACAACUGUUCUCUUAUUAUUCUCUUGAAGCCAAAACUACCUGAAAAAUGCUGUGGCUUGGAAAAUGCACAUUUUAUCAUUGAGAUGUCACAUGAGACUUCGUCGGAAUUACUGUGAACUGCACAACCCUACUAAUUGCUUUUAAAAUAGUACCACUGAAAGUCAUCUGCUGAGCCAGCCUUGCAAGGCACAUUGAGCUCUGAGUGCUGAAGUGUGUGGCACAGGCAAGUCCCACCAUGGAAACAUGAUUCGAGACCUUCAACAGGAGGAAAUAUCUUCCAGCAGGGAGAGAUAAAGAGGAGCACUGCAUCACUCACAGUUUCUCUGCCAAGGGAAGCCUUCAGGAAGCAGUCUUCCUUUUGCUCAGAAAAUACGAAACAACGCUAUGAAAGCAAUUUAAGGAACUAUCUGGGAAGCAGCUUAAGGAAAAACACCACCUCUCCCAUGUAGACAGUUAAGGCACUGUGUUUACAAGAUGCGUGCUGAGCUCCCCUCUGGCUUAGCUGAGUGGAAGAAGAUGACCAGUCUAAAUAUAGUAAAAGGAGAUGCAGUGUGUUACAUACAGCCCAUGUAGCUUGUUCAGUCGAGAUUAAUUCAAUGAGGCAGACAGGAAGGUGACAUGCAUGGCUGGAGUGUCUUGGUCAUUUUAAAAUCAGUGUUUUACAUCUAGAUUUCCACUGCCCUAGAAUUCUUUGAACUGUUUCUACGCUUGAUAUGAUUUUCCCAUAUGAAGUGUUCAAGACCUAAGAAAAUGUAACAGAAAGGGCCUCUUAAAUCUACAUAACUCACUCUGCAAAUACAGGACUGGUCUAUAAACCUGCCCACUUCAAGGCUAUUGCACACAUUCCCUGUUUUAGAACCUGCAGAGCCAGUAUCCUCACUCUCUAUUCUUAGCUCAACGUUUCAUACAUCUUAUAAAAGCUGCCUAGAUGUGCACUCAAAAAUCACUCCAUUUUAAUUUGAACCCAGUUUAAGUUAUUGAGUAGCCAGAUGCAAUUAAUCAAACAAUACCUCUCUCCCUGAUGAGAUGACAUUCUCCACGCAUCACUCACAUCUUCCUAACGAGAGGGGCCUAGUUCAAGAUAGGUAUUUAUACAGUAACUGACAUCUCUGUUGAUAAUAAACUUACACUAAACGAGCUUUUCGAAAUCAUAAAUCUCUAUCUUAAAGUGUUCAUCCCCUUUUCAUUCCUACUGAACUGAGAGGCCAGCAAGCUUGCAGUGUGUUUCAUAACUUUGAUUGCUCGUGCUGUUCACUUUCUGAUAAACUAGAGAAUCACCAUUUCUCUUUUGUCUGAGGCAUAUUUUAAGUAGAGCUUGUUAGGAUGAGGAGAUGAUAACCCAGCUGCCUGCUCACAUUUUCUCACAACACAAAACAACACAGUAGUAACCUAUUUGUUGCAUUUCCUGCUUAAACACAUGGAUCCAUUUUGGAAAGAGUUAAAGGAAAUUUUAAAGUUGCUGAUACUCUUGGAAGCUGCUGAUUCUGCUCUGGGCUACAACAGCUUAUGAAAGGAGGACAACAGAGAUCAGACCAGAAAAGAAAGGAAAAGGACAGGGAGGUGAUGGAGAGAUGGCAGAGCUGUGAGGCAACGCAUUCUGUAAACUGUUUCCUCCUGUGACUUGCUGGAAGGACCAUAACUGCUUCCUCAGUUUAUCAGCUGUACCUGCAAAGGUGGUAGUCAGACCAGGUGUGGAAAACCCCAGAACAUCUCAGCUGUUGUGAACGCUUCACAGCAACAGGCAGCAGAUUACGCAUUCCCAUGGAGGCUGUGAUGGUCCUGCCAAUACCUUCAGGAACAAGCAGUUGGGCUAUGCCAUUGUUUAGGUGACACUAAACAGCUCUGAUCAACCCAAGCAGAGACUGGGCACUGCAGGAGUGUGCAAACAGUAAAGGAGCUCAGAAAUGCAACUGAGGUACUAUUGGUCAGCAAGGUAAAUUGCAUCGCAGCGGCUGCCAAACCACUUGUUUUGCUGUUUGCGUAUUACAUCAACGAUAUUUAGCACUUCCACAGGCUUUACAGAAACACCUCAAUUUUAUCUUCCCGGACUUCAACUAUUUUUUCUUCUCUCCUUUUUUUUUUUUUUUUUUUUUUUUUUUUUUUUUUUUUUAAUUUUUCUCUCUCUCUC
ensembl:lncRNA